UGGGGAAUUUUGGACAAUGGGCGAAAGCCUGAUCCAGCAAUGCCGCGUGUGUGAAGAAGGCCUUCGGGUUGUAAAGCACUUUUGUCCGGAAAGAAAUCCUUGGCUCUAAUACAGUCGGGGGAUGACGGUACCGGAAGAAUAAGCACCGGCUAACUACGUGCCAGCAGCCGCGGUAAUACGUAGGGUGCAAGCGUUAAUCGGAAUUACUGGGCGUAAAGCGUGCGCAGGCGGUUUGCUAAGACCGAUGUGAAAUCCCCGGGCUCAACCUGGGAACUGCAUUGGUGACUGGCAGGCUAGAGUAUGGCAGAGGGGGGUAGAAUUCCACGUGUAGCAGUGAAAUGCGUAGAGAUGUGGAGGAAUACCGAUGGCGAAGGCAGCCCCCUGGGCCAAUACUGACGCUCAUGCACGAAAGCGUGGGGAGCAAACAGGAUUAGAUACCCUGGUAGUCCACGCCCUAAACGAUGUCAACUAGUUGUUGGGGAUUCAUUUCCUUAGUAACGUAGCUAACGCGUGAAGUUGACCGCCUGGGGAGUACGGUCGCAAGAUUAAAACUGAAAGGAAUUGACGGGGUCAUA
rnacentral:rRNA from 1 species